AUGCUGGUGAUCACAUGAGAAAAACUCCCCUUCCUCUCCAAACUACUGUCACGCUCCCGAGCGUGUCAACCUGGAUAUCCCAUCCUUCUCAACUCAAAUCUAAACUGCCGUCACUGUCAUGCCCACCGAGACCUCUUCCAUUUCCCUGACUAGUGCUAUUGGCUGAGGAAACGCUGUCUUCUCUCUCCUUCCUCCUGUCCUUCCACCCCACUCCCACUCCCCACCCAGCAGGAGGAAAAGUGGUGGUCUCCACUGUUCACACUCAAGGACAAUUGCUAAAGAAUGCUCUCCUUCUCCUCACCCUCUCCAUGCGGUUGGGGAAAUAAGACAGACUCGACCAAUCCCAUAUGGAAGCUACUUAGACUUAAAAAAGGCUUAAGAAUGGUGGUUCCAAGACAUUUAGAUUUCAUGUAGCAGAAAAAAAAUCAAAAUAGCACCUGAGGAGCUGACACAGGAAGCAAUUCUGCAAUGAAGUUUUCUACUGACACAGCAGUCUGUUUUUCAUGGAUCACUCCAGUUCGACGCAAGCUAUCUAUCCGUUCCUGGGCACCCUGAAACAGUGUACAUUAGAAACUAUUUUAAAUUAUUCGGUUUUAAACAUACUAAUUUAUGACUGUAUAAGUAAUAUGCAUAUACAUUUAUACACAAACACAUAUAUACUCACUGUAAACAUGAAAACAAUACAGAAACACACAUAUAUACUCACUGUAAACAUGAAAACAAUACAGAAGCACAGAGAGUAAAAAGUGAAAAAACCCCACUGUAUUCCCCUCAGUAUUAAGAGUCUGCAGUGCAUUAUUCCUAUAUGCAUUAUUAUUUUGGUUGCUAUCAUGAAAUGGAUAAUUUUUAUAUUACAUGUUCUAAUUGGUUAUUACUAAUAAAAGGAAACUGUGCUUUUUAGUGUUGAUCUGGCAAGAGGCCAUCUUACUAAAUAAAAAUCAUUUAUCAGUUCUA